rnacentral:rRNA from 1 species
GACGAACGCUGGCGGCGUGCUUAACACAUGCAAGUCGAACGGAAAGGCCCUGCUUGCAGGGUACUCGAGUGGCGAACGGGUGAGUAACACGUGGGUGAUCUGCCCUGCACUUCGGGAUAAGCCUGGGAAACUGGGUCUAAUACCGGAUAGGAGCCAUUUUUAGUGUGAUGGUUGGAAAGUUUUUUCGGUGUAGGAUGAGCUCGCGGGCUAUCAGCUUGUUGGUGGGGUAAUGGCCUACCAAGGCGGCGACGGGUAGCCGGCCUGAGAGGGUGGACGGCCACAUUGGGACUGGGAUACGGCCCAGACUCCUACGGGAGGCAGCAGUGGGGAAUAUUGCACAAUGGGCGCAAGCCUGAUGCAGCGAAGCCGCGGGGGGGAUGACGGCCUUCGGGUUGGAAACUCCUUUCGCUAGGGACGAAGCUUUUUGUGACGGUACCUAGAUAAGAAGCACCGGCUAACUACGUG